rnacentral:rRNA from 1 species
AUUGAACGCUGGCGGCAGGCCUAAAACAUGCAAGUCGAGCGAGCGGCGGACGGGUGAGUAAUGUCGGGGAAACUGCCUGAUGGAGGGGGAUAACUACUGGAAACGGUAGCUAAUACCGCAUACCAUCAGAUGUGCCCAGGUGGGAAUAUCUCGUAGGUGGGGUAACGGCUCACCUAGGCGACGGUCCCUAGCUGGUCUGAGAGGAUGACAAGCCACACGGGAAUGGAGACGAGGUCCAGACUCCGACGCGAGGCAGCAUUGGGGAAGAUUGCACAAUUGGCGCUAGCCUGAUGCAGCCAUACCGCGUGUGUGAAGAAGGCCUUGGGGUUGUCAAGCACUGUCCGCGGGGAGGCGUUACCCGCAGAAUAUGCACCGGCUAAUUCCUUGCCAGCAGCCGCGGUAAUUC